AACUAUGCUGAGUCAUGGCACGCUAAUCCACCUCUAAAGCCGAGCCACAGGUAUCCAGUACCUAUACUUACUUACCUCUACUUAGACUUGCUCAUCUCAGAGCUGUCACCUGCUUACCCUGAGAACCGUGUGAUCGGCUGCCGGCCACAUAUCUUCAGCCUGAUUGAUCGUUUGGGUGUGUGUCUAUCCCCCCCUCAGACAUGUGUUGGUGUGGUUGACUCUGAGGGGCGACUGAGAGCCCUGAAGGGGCUGAGGGACACUCUGGGACCCCCUGAGCCUCUCGUUCGGGCCACCACCUGCGGAAAGGAGAAGGACGGCAGGCUGGAGGUGGUCCAGCCUCACAGCGACAGAAGCAGGGAAACAGCGCCCCCGUCUGACGGAGGGGGAGCGACGGGAGACAGCACCCCGCUGAGAGAGGCUGGCCAGCCAGCUGACCUGACUGCACACCCGGCAUAUUCGCAGGUGAAACACUCACACACACACACUCACACACUCACACACACACACACACACUCACACACACACACACACACACACACACACACACACACACACACACACACACACACACACACACACACACACACGAUGAAGCGCUCUGUGCUUUGUGUCUCUCUCAGAAUAUGGCUCUCUGAAGUUUAUGUAGUCUUCAAGUCUUUGAUAUGUUUGCCUGUCAAUCCUCUCUCUUCUCAGUUGCCUUGAUCAGAUUUUUUUUGACAGUUGUAGUUUUGUAGUUUGACCGUUUUUAUUUGAUGUGAUCAGAAAUAUGCCAACUAAGACCUCAGUUAGGCACUUGUGCCCCCACCUCCCUACAUGUUGGGUGUAGGGCCGACCUCUUGUGCCCCCACCUCCCUACAUGUUGGGUGUAGGGCCGACCUCUGAGCCACCUUCGCAGCAUGGGACAGCCACCUGAUUGGCUGCCUGCUGACCCGUUUAAGCCAACGGCAGCUUGGCAGAGUUAAGCUGUGGUAAUUGGAUAGGGCCUUGGGCAGCCCUGGUCAUGUGCCUGGUCUACGCGUGACCCUCCUCCUCCUCCUCCUCCUCCUCUUUCUCCGCCUCCUCUCUGAAGCGCUUGUCUUCCCUCUCUCCUGUACCCUCUCUUCUCUCUCCUCACUAGGGUGUUACGGGACCCUGUAGGAGUAUGGAGACCCUGCAGGUUUUUCAGAGAAGCGCAGAUCCACCCACUGCCGCCAAACAGGAAGAGGGGUUGUCCGCACAGGAAGUGCAGAUACGGUGAGGUCUCUUUUUUUGGGUGUAGUUGUUGCACAGUAAAAUAGUUUGAGAUAAAGUUGUUGAACAACAAAAUAGUUUCAAUUUCAAUGUAGUUUCAAGUUGACAUGUUUUGAAUUUUGUGAAGAAAAAAAGUUGCAUUUUGAGUUGAAAUUGCAGAAUGUGCUCAUGCAUGGAAUUUUAAUGGGGAU
rnacentral:lncRNA from 1 species